rnacentral:lncRNA from 1 species
AUAAAGUUCUUCAUAAUAGUAUCAUUUCACAUCUUGGAUACAUUUGAGUUAUUUAAUAAAUAGCAGUGACAACUGAUGACCAUUGGGGGAUGUUUAAAUAUAGUACCAUUUAACUAACCCACCCUUUCCUCUAACUUGUAGCUGUAUCUAAGGUCCCAGGUACAACACAAGUAACACAAUCAUUACUGCAUUAUUUUGAUUUUGCUUUCUGUUUUUGUAGUGGCUACAUUUGGAGGAUAUAGGCUAGUAGGAAUACUUUCUUUCACUUUAUAUCUUUCUAUAUUGUUUAAACUGUUACGAGUAUAUAUUACUUUUUAAAUUUAAGAAAGUUUAUGUAUGUGUAUGUAUACAUAUUCUUAUCUGAUUUGCCAAUAUGAUCCUAUAAUCUCCUAUAAUCCUUUAUUAUAUUCUCUCUCUCACAUGCAGACAAGCUCCCCAUACCUUCCACAUCG